rnacentral:lncRNA from 1 species
AGAGAUCAAGAGAAAGGAAGAUAUGAAAGAUGUGAAACGAUGAUAAGCAUCUGAAGAUCAUAGACAUGCCAUCUACUAUCAUUGGUGGAUCUACGUUUAGCUGAAGGUUGGCAUCGCUCUCUCCCGCUUUCCCCUCAAAAUUUCUGUGCACAAAUAGUGGAUCUACGUUUAGCUGAAGGUUUGCAUCGCUCUCUCCCGCUUUCCCUCAAAAUUUCAAAAAACCUUGUAGUAAACCCAAAAAACUAAUAAACAAUUUAUCAAAUUUGCACCUGUCUCACCCAGAAGUGAAUCCAAGAUUUAAAAUGGUAUGCGUUCGACUUUUAAAAUUUUUAGGGAUGAACUUAUUAUACUUAUGAAAUUGGGUUAAUAUUAGUUGACAUUUUAGUGGGUCCCACCACCUCAAG